AGCUCAACUGUUCCCCAACAGCCAGUCAACAUUGGCACGCAUCUAGCUGGCUGAAAGAGCGAGUGUGCCCGCUGCAACAGAUGUGGGAGAAGGAUAAGCCCUUUCUACGGUUGGUGGAAUUCAGAGCACCAACCUACCGGUUGCCUUGCAAGGGAAGCCAAGAGUGAAGCAGGAAAACAUGCCUUGGCCGUUGAGGCUGCACUAGGGGCUGGACUGCCCACCUGCGGAGCCCCUGACUUCUCCCAAGCACCCCACAGAGAGGCCACCUUCUAGGUCCCUCCAGCUCCUUUGCUGUUGGCGGUGCCCAUUUCCCUCCAAGAGGACUUGACAUUGUAUCCCACUGUUCACCUCCCUCUACUGUUUUUCAGGUUCCGUUCGGAAUCAGAAAACCCAAGAAAUAUAUUCACAGAUGUUCCCUUGUUUA